rnacentral:rRNA from 1 species
UGCYUAACACAUGCAAGUCGAACGGAGAUUGUAGCAAUACGGUCUUAGUGGCGAACGGGUGAGUAACGCGUUGGUGACCUGCCCCGAAGUGUGGGAUAACAGCUCGAAAGGGCUGCUAAUACCGCAUGUGGUUUUCUGGAUUAGAUGCCGGAUUUCUAAAGGAGUAAUUCGCUUCGGGAGGGGCCUGCGUCCCAUCAGCUAGUUGGUAGGGUAAUGGCCUACCAAGGCAAUGACGGGUAGGGGACCUGAGAGGGUGACCCCCCACAAUGGAACUGAAACACGGUCCAUACACCUACGGGUGGCAGCAGUAGGGAAUAUUGGUUAAUGGGCGAAAGCCUGAACCAGCAACGCCGCGUGUGCGAUGAAGGCCUUCGGGUUGUAAANGCACUUUUUGAGGGGAUGAGGAAGGACAGUACCCUCAGAAUAAGUCUCGGCUAACUACGUGCCAGCAGCCGCGGUAAUACAAGGCGNANUUCGCGCCGCNAAUNGGUNA